rnacentral:lncRNA from 1 species
CUGUAACUCCUCACAAGGACUGUCCUGAUCAAGGUCUUACUAAAUUGAAAUACAAAAUAUUCUCUCCAAUCCUUUAGAGUGAUCAAUUCCAUCUUGACUCAUGCACUGACAUCAUAAGUAUUUGAUUAUGCCCAAAAAUCUUUCGAUCUUGAAUUAGAAAUUCAAAUAGUUUAGCACCAAAGUAUAGUGAGUUGCUUGCAAGUUACCGUAAUGAUCUCAGAUCGAAGAGACACUUACAUCCAUAUUCCUUCGAAGUAACUCUUGACAACAGAGUAAUUUGGAGUUGAUCACGUUCAGCAAAAUGUACUUCUACAUUUCACUUGCAUGCCAUAUCAGUAUUUUCAUACUCCUUGGUUAAGAGGACAACCAACUUAUAUGGCACACAAUGACAUAUACUUGAUAUAUCUAUCAUCC